rnacentral:rRNA from 1 species
UACGUAGGGGCUAGCGUUGUCCGGAAUCAUUGGGCGUAAAGAGCGUGUAGGCGGCCUGGUAAGUCCGCUGUAAAAGUCAAAGGCUCAACCUUUGAAUGUCAGUGGAUACUGCCGGGCUAGAGUCCGGAAGAGGCGAGUGGAACUCCUGGUGUAGCGGUGGAAUGCGCAGAUAUCAGGAAGAACACCAACGGCGAAGGCAGCUCGCUAGGACGGUACUGACGCUGAGACGCGAAAGCGUGGGGAGCGAACAGG